GCUCAGCCGGGUAGAGCACGUGACUUUUAAUCACGGGGUCCUGGGUUCGAGCCCCAGCGCGCUCACCA
rnacentral:tRNA from 1 species